GACGGAGGAUGCAAGUGUUAUCCGGAAUCACUGGGCGUAAAGCGUCUGUAGGUGGUUUAAAAAGUCUGCUGUUAAAAAUUGAAGCUUAACUUCAAAGGUGCCGUAGAAACUUUUAAACUUGAGGAUGGUAGGGGUAGAGGAAAUUUCCAGUGGAGCGGUGAAAUGCGUAGAUCUUGGAAAGACCACCAAUGGCGAAGGCACUCUACUGGGCCAUGACUGACACUGAGAGACGAAAGCUAGGGGAGCAAAUGGG
rnacentral:rRNA from 1 species